GACCCUAGUUAUAGUUGUACAGUACAAAUCAAGUGAGAUAAGGGUUGAACUGUAUAAUGCACUACUGGUAUAAUGUACUAGUGAGACCACAUUUACAAAAGUGCAUUCAGUUCUGGUCCCUGCACUACAAAAAAGACAUUACAUCUUUGUGGAGAGUUCAGCGAAGAACAACCAGACUAAACUAAUGAAUGUAGUCCAACCAGUUUAUUGGACCAUGGCUACUUUUACCUGACCUGUCACUUACUGUAUUACCAUUGCUUUGAGCCUAAUAUUAUCAGUGUUUAGAAGCUAAGAAAGGUUGAGUUUGGUCAAUAAUUGGAUGGGGGACCUCUAAGGAAAAUCUGGUGUCAUAAUGUGUGAAGCUCUCUCUCUCUCUUCCCACUGAGCCAGCCACCAGUGCCCCAGCAUGAUGUUAGGAGACAGUAGGAGAUGCUUUGAGACGGUAAACCCAGGCCUGGCAUUUUUCAUGUCAUGGCUUAACUCCAAUACAGGUCAAUGGGCCUAACUUCCAUUGUGCUGUAAUGAGAAGGCACUUUUGGUAAUGUCAAAAAGUGAGAAUCGUACACUCUAAUUACGCCUGUUUCAUAUUUUCCUAUUUCUCUUAAAUACAUUUAUUUUCAUAUUGAAUUCCCCUAAACUCAGAUAUUUAAGUUGUUAUCUUUAAAAUACUCUCCAUUUCCCUGCCCUGUUCCCCAAGUCACCCCUGGAAAGCAAUUCUAUCUGGUUAAAUAGAGAAUUUGAUCUGGUUUGAUUGAUUUUAUACAAAAAUGUGUUUUCAGCAGCAAUACUGUGACAGUACUGUGGUAUGUUUCCCCCUGUCUUUUAUUUAUUUCUUGUAUUUAACAAUUUUUAAGCGGGUAACUGAGGUGCAGCUUGGCGUUUCCAAUGGGGACCAGGUGGCAGCUGCAAUAUCCAUUCACUUACACAUGCAGUGGAGCACAUAAAAAUCAUUACAGGAAAACAAUACAUCAUCAACAGGUAAUACAUGGAAAUGUGAAUAAAACUUACUCGAAUGGACAAACUUUUCCACCUUCGUCAUGUUGUAUACUUUGAGGCAGAGAGGUAAAAAGUACGGCUGCCAUAUUAAGGUUGUUUUAUACUAAUGUCCAAUUGUAAGACAAACCACAGUGCUUGCUCUCUCUCAAAGGCAGAAAAGGCUGCUGGCAAUUUCCUUUUGUUUCCUCAGACUGCAAGACUGAACUGAACCAGUCUGAUAAGUCAUAUAAUGGUUUCUAAUGUAGAGGAUGUGAGAUGAGUAACUGUAUAACUUGCACAUGCUAGUGCAGGCUCCUUAACAGGGAUGGGAGAGAUCAAGUCGCUGGGUGAAAGGGGGCAUAGUCGUGGGAUCAGAAGAUGCCCACUGACCUUCAUUUUUCAUGAGCUGUUGUGAGGAACUGCUGCAUUGAGGGAAUGUAAUUGGACCUUCAAAAUUGGGAAGAAAAUAGGGGAUAAAAUAAUUGAACAAAAAAAAAAAAUGUAUUAUGUAGAUAGUGGCUUAUUCAUCAAUAUCAAUCAUAUGCAUUGCCAUUGUACUGUUGAAACUGUAUUGUCAUUGAAGGUCAUUUGGUAAGGAGUGUUCUCUAAAAUGAGCAGAGUGUGCUGUUUUAGUGAGAGGGUUGCAUGCAUUCUGAAUACUGUCACACUGGUGCAUUAAUUCCCCCGGAUCAGCACUGAAGCCCCCAUCAAUUUAAAUGAUGCACAGACUGUAAGUUAAUGUCACUGUAUGUUACCUUCUAAAUUUUUGUCUGACCUUACCGCAAUAAUGCCUUGAUUUACCCUGCUUGAUGCAGAGGGAGAUGCGCUGUCCUUUUGUUACUUAUUUUCACAGUUCGGUUGCCAGGGUCUUUCUGAAUAUUUACUGCAAAUGGUUCCGUUGGUUAAUAAAAAUUUUCAUUUUAAAAAAAGAGCCUUGGUUUUUUUCGGAAGAUUUGAAGGUUCAGUGUGAGAUUGGGUACCGUAACUCAGUGGGUACAAAACUGCCACUUACACAAGCUGUAAACCCUGGAGGAAUUGCGAGCAGAGACAAGACAGGACUCUCUUCUUCAUCUUCUUUACAGAGGAAUGGAGUCUUAUCAACAGGGAUUAUUGUCUUUUCAAACAUAUGCUACUUGUAUAAUGCAGUAACCAAGUUUUCGUUGUUUUAUAUUUUGCUUUGUUUUCAUUUGUUUUGUUUUUGAUGCAUUCUAACUAUUUGAAAUGACAAAUCCAAGUGACCUCACUGCUGCAGGUUGACUGAAUAUUAACCUCUGUUCCUGCAGGAAAAUCUGUGCAUCUGAUGUUACCUAGCUACUGAACCCUGGAGAUGAAAGCCCAGCCUGGGAGGUCUUCAUCUGGACUGGUUGGGGUGCCUGACCAGCAGGGGUCCCUGUGACGAGAUGAGCUUGAACUAUCCCCAGACAAUGUAAAGUUUGACACAAGUGAUUCCAAAGAUAUGCUACCUUUAUACCACGAGACGUGUUGUCCUACGGAAGGCUUGCGAAUGGCCAGCGAGGUCUCCAGGAUGGCAGACAGUCUGAAAAAAGAGGGUCUGGAAACUGAGAGGACUGUUAGCUACAGACCUUCCAGCAGCCAGCCACCACUGUAAAACAAAACCAGCCAAAUUGAACAAGGAGAGACCCACUGCAAAAACAACUAAGACAUUAAUACAUAUUCAGAUUUAAUUUGGCAUCUUGCACUCAAACUGCACAGAUCGGAUCGAGAUUAAUGCGCCAAAUACCGAAAUCAGUUUGUAAUCAUUUAUUUGUACUUGCUGCUUCGAGUUCUGAGCUAGUUCUCUAUCAUGAAAACAACAAGGAGCAACUGGGAGUUCAUAAUGAAUUACAGGAAGUAAAGGUCUACUGAUUGGGAUUAUUCAGUCACAAUCCACACUAGAGUCAAUGGCUUGUUUUCCUCUCUGAAAGUCACUUUGAAUACGGACAUAGUAUUGAUAACAUGUUUUUAUAUACAAACCAAAAGUAUUGAAAAU